CCUCCCUUACAAUCUUUUUUUCCUCUCUCUCCUUUUUUUUUUUCUUGCCUUCUCCUUCUUCACUGAAGCCUAGGGGAGCCAGUAAAGAUUAAAUGUGCUUUCUCAAAGGCAGCCACUUCAUGCUGCUAUGUCGAAAGGGCCAUUAUUAUUAUUUUUUUAAUAGUAAAAGAAAAAGGGAGAGAGGUUGAGAGAGAGGGAGAGAGAGAGAGAAGCUAGGUAGGAUGAUGACGGACUAGCUUUUCUGAGAGGAAAAGGAAAAGGGAAGGGAGAGAAAGAGGAGAGACCCUGAGCUGAACGGAGGAUUGUGCCUGAGACGAACCUACCGAGGCGGCACUAGGAGCCGUCUCCGCACAGGAAAGCCCAGCUUCCAAGCAGACGGGGGAAGCGAGGAUCUAUCAGGUACAGAACCAGUAGCUGUCUGCGGAGAUGGAGGAGAAUCAUGCUUCGGAUUCCUCCGAAAUAUUGGCAAAAGGCUUCAAAGGAUCCGCGGCGGGGGAGAUGCGCCUCGCCGGCUCGCGCCCACCCCUUCCCGCUCGCCUCGACCAAGUGACAGCCUGGUGCUGGCUGGGCUGAUUUGGCCUUGGCUUCAGCCAAGCAGCUGAUGCACAGGAGGCCCGUUCGCAGGACUGGCAAAGUGCGCGCUAAAGGAAGAAGAGGAAAUUUUGAAAAGCAGCCCUGGAGAGAGUUCUCAUUCUUCUAAAACAAAUUUUUUUUUAAUUUUUAACUAAAUAUUCUCAAAAUUUGAUCAGUCCCAGUCCCUCCCUCUACUCCCACCGAGUUGCCUUUUCUCCCUCCCUCUCUCGUCAAAGCAUAAGCUACAGAGUUACAGUCUCUAGAUUUGGUGUAUCGCUUCCUGCCCCCGCCUCCCCCUCCCCGCCCAGUUCUCAGUCCUCUAUUGAAACACCUCGCCCAGGCGAGCGCCCUGCAGCUCACAUUUCCCCCCCUGGCUUGGACGGUGCUGCUGGAGGCUGCAGGCAGACUCCGCUUCCAAUGGUGGUGUUGAUGUUCCUUUCAGCUGGUCCUAUAGUCCCCCCUCCUCAGGAAUGUCUCCCCAGUGAAAGGACACAGACCGCAGAGACCGCCGUCCUGAUGGACGCUCAAGCCGACUGUGAAGUUGGAACAAAGAAAGCGAUCACCUGAAGACACCUCUCCUGCCAAGCGACACACCCACACGCUGCAGUUUCAGCCAAUAGAAUCUCAGAAUAAGAGGCAAGCUUUUCAAGAAACAGAAACACUUAAGAAUGACAUGUAGAUUUCCAGUGAGCCAAGAACUUUCCCUUCCUCGUGUGUAUUCCUCUGUUUGUAUUUAAAUUCUGUGUGACAUUCAUUUUUAAAAGACUUUCUUCUAGUAUGACUAUACUUAUUAAUGCACCAAUUUUUAAAAUAGAAAGUUGUUCGUGCCAGAAGUAGGUUGAUUGUUAGCCACACACAGAGUUUGACCUUAAGAGUGACUUAAAGAAUAUAAAGUUCUUUUGAAAUAACAAACGAGUGGGAGGCAAUCCAAAGGAUAAAAUAAUGGCUGGAACUCAGAAUGGGGCAGAGAAAUACAUUAUCCCGCUGAUGCCAGCCAGCCAACCAACCCACCCACCAACCAUUCUUUUUAUCGGGCAAGCUAGGUUCUGUGAGACAUAGUCACUGCCUCUAAAGAGUUUAAACUUAGUUAGACAGAGGCACAUAAACUUUUGCAAAGAGAGGUAAGGAACCGGGUCAAUUGAUAAGACCAAAACCAAACCAAAACAAAAGAUAUAAACAAGGAGCUCAGAGGAGGUCACCUUAAGCUGGGCGAACUGGUCAGUUCAGGGAAGAAAGUUCCCAAAGGAGGAAAAUACAAGAUGAAUCUUAAAGGAUGUUAAAGAUUUAGAUAAAUGGAAAGGAGAGAAAAUAGAGUCCUUUAGAUGGAUGCAAUAAUGUGAGCAAAAUCAGACAGGAGAGCAUCUACAUGCUGGUUUUAGGGAAUUAGGAAUGUAUGUGCCUUGUGGACUGCAUCCCAGCCUUUCGUUGUCAGUGUAUAGAUACACAUAUAUGGUGCAGACUUCGCACACACACUUACCCUCUCCCACCCUGGGUGUAGCCUAGAAUUAUAAUCAUAUUUCUUCCAUUAAAGCAAGUGAGAGUGACUAGUGAUAAUGUGAAGAUGUGUGAUUUUUCUGUUAGCCUAAUAACAAUGGAUAUUUAUUGAGUUCUCACUACAUGUUAAGCAUUUUCUAUAUUAAUUCUCUUAAGCCUCAAAACAACCCUGCCAAAUAGAUAUUAUUUUUUAUUCCCAUUUUAUGCAAAGAAAACUGAGUUUUAAUGAGGUUAAGUAACUUGCCAAACUGCCACAUGCAAGUGUUCACAGUCAGAAUUGCGAUUGCAAAGCUCAUGAUCUAAAGCACUAAGUCACAAUGUUGCUACCAAUGUCACAGUGUUACCACUUUUAUAUUCCUUGAUAUUUUCCUAUGGUAAACAGCUAUUUCCUUUAAUUAUCUUCACAAAUUUUUCAGUUUUCUGGUGAAACUUGCAUGACGGAAUGUAUUUUCAUGUCAGAAAUUGAAAAAAUUGGGGAAUAGAGUUUAUCAGCAUUUUAGGCUUUUUUUUUUUUGGCCAGACUCUGAUGAGACUGUUCACUUUGGUCAGCAUGGAAUCUCAAUUUCUUGAGAAUAAUAAUAGGAGGUGAGGAGAGUUUAAAGGUCAUCUAUUGCAAUAUCCUUUUCUACAGAUGUGGUAAAUCCGUAAAGUUAGAGUGACUUACAGAAGGUCACACAUUUGAAUGUAGCAGAGCUAGGUCCAGAAACCAUGCCCUCAGAGGCUCUUGAACUACUCCCCCCUGCCUAAAUUGAUCAGUGAAAACAUUCUAUCUGGGUGAUCAGGGAGCAUUGUAGCAAGUAGAUUGUUCAAUUUUGCACCUCUUUGGCUUUUCACCUCAAUGUGAAAAACAGCUAGCUACAAACUGACAUCUUUAGUUCCAGAAAUAAUGGUCCAUCCACAAAGAAUACACAAUGGCCCAAGUUACCUGCACAGUGUCUUCAAUGAUAUUCUUAAGUUAUUUGGCAUUCUUAGUUCACCUAAACAAAUCAGAUCUUCUAAUGAGCAUUUUCUUAACCAAUUUUAUGCACAGUAAAUAUUUGUAAGAGUUUCUGCAUGAAUAUUUAAACACAACUGUUUUGAUAGUCCUUAUGUUUUUUGAAAAUAUCAAUGGUUAUUGGAACUUUAAUUGUCCCUAACUCAAGAAUACUUCAGCCAUAAAAGACUAGAAUUGAAGAAACCUCUCUCUUCCUCACCAGCCCCUUUGCCUUCAGUUGGCAUUUAGUAAUGAUUAAUAAAGUGAUCAGCUGGAGAACACAGAAGUUCAAAAGGCAAUUUUGUCUUGAAGGAGUCGGUUAAACUGUGUCUACCAAACGACAAGCAUCUAGGCGUUUGGAAGGGCCUGGAUAUUUGACUGUUGUCAGUUGCCACUUAGAGACCUGGCAUUGUCACAGUUAGACCUCCUGGUGGCUCAGGUGGUCCUGUUUUCAAAAUGAUGAUCAUUGGCCGUAUCUCACACAGUUCUCAUUAAGUGAGCUCAUAUAUAAACAGGUUUUUUUGGUUUUGUUUUUUUUUAAGCGUAGCCAAGCACAAAAUGUAACUUUGUUGACAUUUUAUGAGACUUUGUCAUAUGUCCCCUGAACCCCCAAUAAAAGCAAUGUUGCAUCAA